AUUUCCUGGUCAAGCUGACCGAAGAGUUAUAGACCACAAAGUAUCUCUUCCAUGCUUUGGAAACUCAACAAAAAGCUCCAGAAAGGACAGCUUUGUUUAAAGAACUGGUCAAAACAGAACAGGCUUUUU